GGAGGCAUGGCUCAAAUGGUAGAGCACCUGCCUAGUAAACAUAAGGCACUGAGUUCAAUCCCCAGUGCUGCCA
rnacentral:tRNA from 1 species